UGAGACACGGACCAAACUCAAACGGGAGGCUGCACUAAAGAAUCUUCCACAAUGGGCGAAAGCCUGAUGGAGCAACGCCGCGUGAGUGAUGAAGGCUUUCGGGUCGUAAAGCACUGUUGUAUGGGAAGAACAGCUAGAAUAGGAAAUGAUUUUAGUAUGACGGUACCAUACCAAAAAGGGACGGCUAAAUACAUGCCAGCAGCCGCGGUAAUACGUAUGUCCCGAGCGUUAUCCGGAUUUAUUGGGCGUAAAGCGAGCGCAGACGGUUUAUUAAGUCUGAUGUGAAAGCCCGGAGCUCAACUCCGGAAUGGCAUUGGAAACUGGAUAACUUGAGUGCAGUAGAGGUAAGUGGAACUCCAUGUGUAGCGGUGGAAUGCGUAGAUAUAUGGAAGAACACCAAUGGCGAAGGCAGCUUACUGGACUGCAACUGACGUUGAGGCUCGAAAGUGUGGGUAGCAAACAGGAUUAGAUACCCUGGUAGUCCACACCGUAAACGAUGAACACUAGGUGUUAGGAGGUUUCCGCCUCUU
rnacentral:rRNA from 1 species